CCAAGAAGUACUCCUUAAUAUUUUCAUACUGAUCUAUCCUUGAAACGUGACUCAGUUACCUUGUGCGCAUAACUCUAGCAAGAAGAAUCUGAUUGUUUUUGCAUGUUGUCCUAAAUCGAUCAGCACACUCAUUCCUCCUCCUCCUUGCACAUCAUUGAGAGAACCAAACCGAAUCCUACAACCUCCACUCAGAUUUUUUGCAUGCAAGAGGAGACAGCCACCCCCUUCCUUCUCUAGCCGUGGACCACCAAGAGGAAGAAGUAAAAGUCUCCAUGUUCCUUCUUCCUUUUGCUUCCCCAAAGACCGUGAGUUGUACUAGAGAAAGAACCACCAUACAGCUCCCAUCUCCAUUCCUUCUCGGUUCGGCCAAGGGUAUCAUCUAGGGGGCGAAGUAUUUUCUUGUUGAUUCCUUGCUCAUUUUUCUCUCACCGGUCUAGGGAAAACUUUCCACUGCAUGCAGAUAAAAUAAAAACACAAACCAUUCUCUUAUUUUUCCUUUGGUUCAGCCGCUGGUCAUUAUCCAAGGAGCUUAAGCUCGAUCUACCAGAACAUUGAAAGAGUGGAUUGUGUAGUUUUCUGAUUUGUGAGUGUGUCAAUACAAGGAAGUAAAGGCCGAACUCAAGCUUUAUUUUUCCCCAUUGUUACGGGUUACAGGUGCGCAAAACACUUGAGACUUUGGAUUAUUCCGCUGCUGCCUGGUAAUUUAUUUGUGACGCGCGAGGUGUGCAACCCCCUUGAAACUUUGGAUUAUACACCGCUGUCUGGUAAAAAAUUUGGAACGUAUGAGGAGGGCGGAAGAGCAUAUGAAGUCAUGAUUAUAUGGAUAUCUGUUGUUAUGUGCUGCUGUUGGGAUUUUUGUUGUUGCUGUUUAUUUGAUGGAUAACUGUAUUAAUUUGAGAAGUUUGGAUUACUGUCGGAUUAUGAUUUUACUACUGUUUUAAGACUUUUAUGAUCAGCAAAAAAUUUGGAACCAAAUUCUAGAAACGUUUUGUGAAAAUAAUGUUUGA